GACGAACGCUGGCGGCGUGCUUAACACAUGCAAGUCGAGCGGUAAGGCCCUUUCGGGGGUACACGAGCGGCGAACGGGUGAGUAACACGUGGGUGACCUGCCCUCAGCUCUGGGAUAAGCCUGGGAAACUGGGUCUAAUACUGGAUAUGACUCCACGGUGCAUGUCGUGAGGUGGAAAGCCUUGUGCGGCUGAGGAUGGGCCCGCGGCCUAUCAGCUUGUUGGUGGGGNGAUGGCCUACCAAGGCGACGACGGGUAGCCGGCCUGAGAGGGCGACCGGCCACACUGGGACUGAGACACGGCCCAGACUCCUACGGGAGGCAGCAGUGGGGAAUCUUGCGCAAUGGGCGAAAGCCUGACGCAGCGACGCCGCGUGA
rnacentral:rRNA from 1 species